GACGGAGGGUGCGAGCGUUGUCCGGAAUCACUGGGCGUAAAGGGCGCGUAGGCGGCCUGAUAAGUAGGGGGUGAAAUCCUGCGGCUUAACCGCAGGGCUGCCUUCUAAACUGUCAGGCUUGAGCACAGUAGAGGCAGGUGGAAUUCCCGGUGUAGCGGUGGAAUGCGUAGAGAUCGGGAAGAACAUCAGUGGCGAAGGCGGCCUGCUGGGCUGUGCUGACGCUGAGGCGCGACAGCGUGGGGAGCAAACAGG
rnacentral:rRNA from 1 species